ACUUUCAGUCGUGAGGAAGGUAGUGUAGUUAAUAGCUGCAUUAUUUGACGUUAGCGACAGAAGAAGCACCGGCUAACUCCGUGCCAGCAGCCGCGGUAAUACGGAGGGUGCGAGCGUUAAUCGGAAUUACUGGGCGUAAAGCGCAUGCAGGUGGUUUGUUAAGUCAGAUGUGAAAGCCCGGGGCUCAACCUCGGAAUUGCAUUUGAAACUGGCAGACUAGAGUACUGUAGAGGGGGGUAGAAUUUCAGGUGUAGCGGUGAAAUGCGUAGAGAUCUGAAGGAAUACCGGUGGCGAAGGCGGCCCCCUGGACAGAUACUGACACUCAGAUGCGAAAGCGUGGGGAGCAAACAGGAUUAGAUACCCUGGUAGUCCACGCCGUAAACGAUGUCUACUUGGAGGUUGUGGCCUUGAGCCGUGGCUUUCGGAGCUAACGCGUUAAGUAGACCGCCUGGGGAGUACGGUCGCAAGAUUAAAACUCAAAUGAAUUGACGGGGGCCCGCACAAGCGGUGGAGCAUGUGGUUUAAUUCGAUGCAACGCGAAGAACCUUACCUACUCUUGACAUCCAGAGAACUUUCCAG
rnacentral:rRNA from 1 species